AUUUGGGGCAGUAAUGAUUUCUGAGAAGCAGGUGAUUGAUAACGCGCAAAUUCAAAGCCCCUUGGGGGCUGCAUUGUAGCAUGGUGUGGGGAUGGGGAGACAGAGGGCUGGUAGGAUCCCGAAUUCCUAGUUUUUCUCUCCCUCUCCCUUGCUUCUUCAUUUUCUUCCUUCAGGCUUUCUUCCAUUUCUUUCUUCCAUCAAAUAUUUGUGGAGCUGGAACUGGGCUUCACUAUCAUAUUCCAAGGCCCUGUACUGGGAACAGACAAAGAAGCUCCUCCCAGAGACUGGAAGAAUGGUACAAGGUGUGAAAACCAAGGCUUAAAGCAUGCAAGUUAUUUGCCCGAGGUUUUUCAGCCACAAAUGAAGAAGCUGGGUCUGCUCCACACCUGUGAACCAGGCUAUUUCCACCAUAACCUGAACUCAGAUGAGCACCAGCCCAUGGAGAAUAGUCCAGAAGGCUGCCCAUAGCCUUAAAGGACAGUGUGAGCAUUAAUCACAGCCUGUUGCAUUUGAAGACCACCUCCGGAACAAUGUCGUUUUAAAUCUAUGCCCAAGGCUGAACUUGGAUUGGAAAGAUGGGAGAGACAGCAGGCCUGGGUGUAUUCAGGAUUAUUUCCUAAUAACUCACUCUCUCCUCCCUCCUCCCUUUCUUGAAAGUGAGUGGUUAGGGAUGAGCGGUUGCAGGCAGAGAUGACAGCAUGAGAUAUUUCACCAAAGAGUGGGUGUUUAACCACCACUUGUCUAGGAGAUGGGCAACAUGUCCCAGAGAUGAUUCUAACAGGGAACUCUUCCUGGCAGAGUCCAGUGAAGGGAACCAGGAAAUUCGGGGGCAGGGCAAUCCCACUCUCUCUGUCAGGUGAGAUCACCUGCGCAGUGGUUUGAGUUCAGGCAUCUUACUUUCUUUUAGUUAGAUUCAUAGGAUUAAAAAUUAUCUGCUUAUCUAGUCCAAUAUUUUUAAGGCAUGUCAAAAAAUCUGCAGAAUCCCCCCCCCCCCUUUUUUUUCAUAAGAAAUAUACAUAAAUCUGAGAAAAAGCAGAGCUGGAAAAAAAGUGGGGGCAUCUCGGAGGAUGAACUACCUGGAGCCCCAUUCUGGCAGCUCUUGAGAAUUCUGGAAUUCCUCUGGAAACUACUGAUUUAGUUUCUCAUUUCCAUUUGAGAAAACAAAAUAUAAUAAUAGCGAUCAAGGUUAUAUUUUAUGGAAGUCUCACUGUGUAUGCGUCUUUUUAUUCUUACAGCAGCCUCACAAAAUGAGUGUUAUAUUCUGGAUUAUCAGAAGAGAAAUGUGAGAUGCAGGCAGGUUGAGAAAAUUGCUCCAAGUCACUUCGGGAAUGUGUGCAUGGACAAGGAAGCAGGAAGAUCCCAAGGAAAAAGAAGCAGCAUGAAAAAUGACAAGAAGACUACAACAGAAGUUUCUACGAACUUUGCACACACAGAAGAGGGUUCUUUUAGUUUUAGUCAGGAUAGGAAAAGGACAAAAUAAAAGUGAACAUUUA
rnacentral:lncRNA from 10 species